AGGCGGCCCGGGGAGAAAGCCCGGCGGAGAACCACACCGGUUUCCAAUUUUCAUCUCAAGGAACCUGCGAGAGGUAAUGGGGAGCUGCGACGGGGAAUGCCAAGCGGUAAGCGCGUGUUGCUGCAGCCACUUGCUGAGAGAAAAAGCCCUUCCCCAGAGGAAAGGAAGAAGCACUUGGAUUGCUUGGUUGCAGAGCACGGAGCAGGAGCCCGUGCAAAUCUGCUGGAGAGGAACCCGGUCCUCAGCACCAACACACUGCUGCCUUGAUUUGCUGGAAACAGUUGCUGAGUGAAGAUCAUUUUCCAACUGAUGUGAUUCACACAAACAAUUUUAGACUUUGCUACCCACCGUGCUUAGUUUUUCACAAGAGUAUUUUCCCAACCCUUUGGAAACACAGGAAGGACAAGUGCCUUGGAGUAGAGGCCCCAUGCAGCAGCAGGAACAGCAGUGAUCUGCUUCAAUGCCAGGCUGAUUGACUGCCAGGCUUUUCCUCCCUCUGGCACAGCAGAACCACCCAACCCAAAGUAUUUAUACCAUCAGAAAUCACCACCAGUCUGCAACCAGGUGAAACGAACACUAUAAAAAAAAAAAAAGCAUACCAUCAUCUUGAAAGAAAAUUUGUUCUAAUAGGCAAAAAUAUCAUGUAAAAAGUGGUAGUGGGUCACAGAUAGUGCAGCAACACCUGCAGCCGCAAAAGAACCCGUCUUUUGAACAGAAACCAUCCUCACUGACUUACAGGGUCACUGAAUGAGCAUUUUCAAUUUGCUUUGCAAUUAAAGCCAUUGCUAUUUUGGAAUAUGCUGCUCUCAAUAAGAGCCCCUACCUUAUGGCAGGUCCCA